ACAAACACAUUAUAUAUACAUAUACUACUAUGGAGGGGAGCUGUCUUUAGUGUAUGAUCAACUUGGAUCAUCAAGGAGCCACGGAACGAUCAAGCUAUGCUUCAGGCUGCAGACAUGGAAUCUUACAUAACGUGGCUAACUUAUGCGAGGUGUACAUAAAGUAUUUCCACCAUUAGUGACUUCCAGAAAAACCUCGGGAGUCGCUGAACACGUUUCAACACUGCCAUCCCCUUCUUGCAGUUAUUUCAUCAGUAAUUCUACCAGACGUAAAUAAUAAAUUCUCAGCGUUUUUGGCCAAUUUGAGAAAUCAACUUCCCACUUCAACGCGAAAAUGCUUGCCUACACUCUCGAAGUUGUGUGGUAACCAAGUGUUGUAAAAGCACACUGCAACGUUCUUAACUGAUAAGGCUGUGUUUUUCUUACACGACUCCUCAACUGGGCAUUCUCAUCCUGCUGCAACCAUCGUUUCGCAAGAAUUUAGAAACUCGUAAUAAAGCACAAUUUUUGGGCUUAUCUGACUUGCGAGUAGACAUGGACUGGGCCUGAGACGCUAACAGAGAAUACGGCCUAGACCCACUGUGCUGUUGUCAAUAGAUGGAUCAUCGUGUGGUAGUGAUAGCGGAUAUCUGUUAGAAUCAAGACAAGAGAUCAUCGCGCGCUUUUCGACUUGUCGAAUCUGUCCAGCUCGUUGUAUCCGCGAGCGUCUGCGUUUUAUUUGUUUAUAAACGGAACUUUAAUAGUUAUCGAACAUCAUUCAGCCAAUAUCAGAACGGACCAUUCAAUGGCGAUUUAUUUUCAAACUGUAGUAUAGAAUAACAUUACACUACAAAAGCUGAAUUGUUAAUUAUUCUAGCGUACUGUUUUAGAACAAAUAUGUAUUACAUAUAUUUGUCAAACUAUUGAGGUUCAUUGUCAGGUAAAUGACGGUCGACCUUAGCGCAAUCUUAAAGAUUAUGGUCAGCUGUUCAGUUUAUAAGCAAUGAAAUCACCAUUAGAUCCUGUAAUGCUAAAGCGAUCCAUGCAAAGUCGGGUCACAAAUUGAGUUAACAAGCUUUCGUACGUUGCUGGCAACCUUCUUAAAUGAACGGACAUUGCUGGAGAUCGAAAGUUUAGAGCUAGAAUGUGUGGUAAAAAACCGCGAGAGGAGUAGCCGAUGCAGGUACCACUUUGAAAUGUACCGCGCGCUGUGUGUCAAAAACAAACUACUACAAACUAAUGAGACAAGUCGAAUUGCAUCAAUGGUGAUUCGACGGCUUUUCUGAUGUCAACAGAGCCAAGUCAAUUUCAGUACUAUGCACAGAUGUACACCCUUGAGACAGCGUGAACGUCUUCGUUAGAGUUAGCCAGGAUUUGGCUACUAGAAGUGCACGCUCGCUCUUUCCACCGACGUAGAUUCUCU